ensembl:lncRNA
CCCCGUGUUUACUGAAAAUACAAAAAUUAGCUGGGUGUGGUGGUGGGUGCCUAUAAUCCCAGUUACUCGGGAGGCUGACACAGGAGAAUCACUUGAACCGGGCAGGCAGAGGUUGCAGUAAGCAGAGAUGGCGCCACUGCAGUCCAGCCGGGCUACAGAGCAAGACAGUGUCUCCAAAAAAACAAAAAAAAAAAACACGAAAAACCCCCUCAGAUAUCCAGAUAAGAGGAUACAGAUAUGUCCACUGUCAUAAAUUCUUCACCAUGCUAUAAGAGGGGAACUGACAUUUUGGUGAAUCUUUGUAAAUCAUCAAUUUAUCUAUCACACUUGUAUUUCACCAGUAGCAUUGACAAAGCUAAGUCCUACAAUUCCAUUUGAAAUUACCCUUAAAAAGAACAGACCUUUAAAACUUACUACACUCACUCUGGGGAAGAAAUAAAUACGAAUUUUUAGCAAAUAAAAUGCAUCAUUUUAUCUUGCCUCUUUGGAAAUAGUAUUUUUAUCUUUCAAGCUGUACUGACAAAAUGUAUCUUACAGUCAAUGACAAACUGAAACUCAAAUAAGAGGACAAGCCUUUUCAAGGUAACAAACUCAGGGAGAGGCAGUGCUGACUCCAACGCAGACCUUUCUAAGUGUCACGGCAGCCCAUUCUAUCCCUCGGGACACCCAUCCUGUUCAGUAAAGCACUCAGUGACCACCUAGGAGGCACUGGCACUGCUCUUUGUCCUCCUGUGUGCCUUCAGAGCAUUUUCAUAUUUAGGUUCUUGCACAUCCUCUCUGGGGUGGGUUUUCCUCAUCCUUUGGGAGAAUUUUUCUCUCUUCACAAGUCUGAGACAAUCUAGAAAGCAGAAAUCAUUUCUGCCUUUUCCUCUCAAUAUCAGCAUCCCAUUGGCAGACCAUCAAUGUGUCUCCGAGGAAUAAAACCUCCAGCUAGAGGAACAGUUUUAAUGACCUAGCUUUAAUGACGUUACGUUGUAUUGUCCAUUCAUUUUAAUGUCCUAAAAUUUUAAUAACCCUAAGGGGUCACCAUUUUAGAUGAAACUAUACCCGGAGAUUCCUCUAAGGCCAAGAGCAUCCAGCUGCUCCCCUGAGAGACUCUACCCCCUACUUCAGGCUGUCCUUGGGGAUGAGAUGACCCCGGGGCUGAUAUUCACUAGACCCUCCAAUAGACAUGGCCACUGUGGGUAUCCUGGGUCAUUCCCAGACAGUUCUAAAAUGCCAGGACUAGGAAAAGACAGGAGGGUGGCUGAGGACACAACACCCUGUAAAGUUUUCACGGGGAGACCUCAACCUAAAGACAUUUUGGUAAUAUGUACACUUAGGAAAGAUGAAAAGAAGAGAGGCACAAAGAUUUUUUUUUUUACAGUAGAGUGUCAGGUGAUUUAUUCUCCACUUUCCUCUCAUGUAAAAUGUUUGGAAACAGAAAAAUAUUUUGGUCAAGGUGGCUCACGCCUGUAUUCCCAGCGCUUUAGGAGGCUGAGGCGGGUGAUCAAUUAAGGUCAGGAGUUUGAAACCAACCUAGCCACAAUGGCAAAACCCUGUCUCUACUAAAAAUACAAAAAUUAGCAGGACAUGUGGUGGGCGCUUAUAAGCCCAGCUACUUGGGAGGCUGAGGCAGGAGAAUCGCUUAAACCUGGGAGUCAGAGGUUGCAAUGAGCUAAGACUGCGUCAUUGCACUCCAGCCUGGUGACAGGGCGAGACUCCAUCUCAAAAAAAAAAAAAAA